GGGCGUGUGGCUCAGUUGGUAGAGCGUUCGCUUAGCAUCUCGACGGCUUCAAAACCCGGCGGAGAAGCAAAAUAUUGCGAAAGGUCCUGAGUUCGAUUCUUAGCUCGUCCA